rnacentral:tRNA from 1 species
AUUUAUAAAGUUUUUAAAACACUUCAUUUUCAUUGAGGAGAGGAGCAAAACGCUUUAUAAAUA